AAUGACCUUCCUUCUCAACCUUUACAACAGGUAAUGGAAAUUUAAUCUUUAGUUGCUGUGGUACCAAAAAUACUCCAGGUGUACACAAAAGACAACCACACAAAUGCCACAUUCUUACAACUUCAGACUUACAGAAUGUAUUAGCCAUUUAAAUCAUCUUUUUGUUAUGUGUGACAAGGAUAGAGAUUGAAUAUAGAACAAAGAGCAGUACAACACAGUACAGAGUCUUCAACCCACAAUGUUCUGCUUAUCUUUUAACCUACUCUAAGAUCAACCUGACCUUCCUCUCCAUUUUUCACUCAUCCACGUCUUAUCUAAGAGUCUUUUAAAUGUCCCUAAUGUAUCUGCCUCUACCACUACCCCAUCAGUACAUUCCACAUACCUACACUCUGUGUAAAAAAACUUACCUCUGACAUCCCCGCCAUACCUUCUUCCAAUCACCUUAAAAUUGUGCCACUCAUUUUAGUUUGAGUUUGUCAUUUAUGUUGCCACAGAAUAAGUCAUAAGACUAUAAGAAAUAGGAGCAGAAUUAUGCCAUUCGCCCCAUCGAGUCUGCUCUGCCACUCUGUCAUGGCUGGUUCAUUAUUCACCUCAACCCCAUUUUUCUGCCUCCUUCUCAUAACCUUUGACACCCUGACUGAUCAAAAACCUAUCAUCCUCCACUUUAAAUAUGCUCAAUGUGUUGGCCUCCUCAGCCAUCUGUGGCAAUGAAUUCCACAGAUUCACCACCCUCUGGCUAAAGAACUUCUCCCCUAAAUAAGUUUCUCCCCUAAAUUACUCUCUGUUCUAAAUGGAUGCCCUUCUGUUCUGAGGUUGUGGCCUCUGGUCCUAGACUCCCCUGUUACUGGAAGCAUCCUCUCCAUUUCCAUUCUGUCAAGACCUUUCAAUUUUCAAUAGGUUUGGUAAGUGUAAAGAAAACCAAGUUCUAUUGUGUGGAAACCUUACAGAGCAUUUUAUAGAAUUAUUUUAUUUGCUUCAUUUAUAGAAUCUUAAAUAAUUAUAAGAAUACUUUAAGAACUAUUGAUUUUUACACACACAAAUUUCAUGCUCUUCCACUGUAAACAAAACAUUGACAAUGUCUGGAAACUCUGGAUUUCUGUCAGUAUCUCUAGUAAUUUAUAAAAAUAACCUAUCUGAAUCCCUCUCCACACAAUGCUGUGGUUGUGUAGUUGUCAUCUUGGACCCUGCAGCCUAUGGCUGAAAAGGCUCAGGAUCUGUUGACAUGUAAGUUCCCAGCCCAGGCCUUCUUUACCCAGACAGAAGAAGAAUUAACAGGUGUCUUUUAGACUAGUAAAUAGUUUGAAGGGACAGACAUAAAUGGUUAAGGCCACUUGAGGGGAACCACAACAGUGACUUAGUCCCUAAUAAAUCCAGAGGGGAGAGGUUUUAUUCAGACAUAGAAACAUAGAAACAUAGAAAAUAGGUGCAGGAGUAGGCCAUUCGGCCCUUCGAGCCUGCACCGCCAUUUAUUAUGAUCAUGGCUGGUCAUCCAACUCAGAACCCCGCCCCAGCCUUCCCUCCAAACCCCCUGACCCCUGUAGCCACAAGGGCCAUAUCUAACUCCCUCUUAAACAUAGCCAAUGAAGUGGCCUCAACAGUUUGCUGUGGCAGAGAAUUCCACAGAUUCACCACUCUCUGUGUGAAGAAGUUUUUCCUAAUCUCAGUCCUAAAAGGCUUCCCCUCUAUCCUCAAACUGUGACCCCUCGUUCUGGACUUCCCCAACAUCGGGAACAAUCUUCCUGCAUCUAGCCUGUCCAAUCCCUUUAGGAUCUUAUACGUUUCAAUCAGACAUAGGUUAGAAUGAGGGACUCACUACUGAAGUAAUUCAUUCAGAGAGAAAUUGGAUUAGCUCUGAAGAGAGAAAGGCACAUGAAAAUAUGAGGGAACAUAAAGAUGAAGGGGGUUGGGAGGAAGUUUGCAUGGAGCAGCAACACCAGCGUGAAUUUGGACCGAAUGGCCUGGUUUCGGGCAAGCACAUUCUAUGUAACUCAACACAAUAUUGUUUCAGGUGGGUCAAGGUCAUGAGAAGCUGACAGGUUCAGGUUACUGUGGUGCAACUUGCCCUCUGCCUGACGCUCAUGUGCAACAAUAACUGAGCUCUGCCCAGGCAUGUCAGCAGCUUCACUCUCCAGGGGACCUGUUUAUUUUAGUUCUUAAGAGAACACAUAGCAGUAACCCCUCCUCCCUCUUGCACACUAAAAUGAUUCCAUUCAAAGCUGUCGGAAUACUUCCAAGCCGUAGCUAUUCUGCUUUGGAACUGAUGCAGCUCUCCAGCGCAUGCAUAGCAGCUUUCUCAGCUUCCAUCACCCCAAGGACCUUCACAAACCACGAGGUACUGGUGAAGUGUGAUCGCAGCUGCAAGCUGCUGUUCGCGUGGGAUUUGGUCAGAACGCGCCAUGGGGAAGAAGAGAGAAGACGCACCCGAAGAGAUGCUGUGACCCAGUGAGCAGAGCGAAUCCUGAGCGGGAGCUCGGGACCCGGCGGAGUUCGGAGGAGAUCGAAUGGUGGAAAGUGGAUAUUGCGUAGUUCCUUGCAGUGAAAUAUGACUUCUGUUCCAUUGGUUAUGAGAUGGCUGAAAUGUUCCAUGUGGGAUCAACAGACCAUGUCACAGACGGGGCAUUUAGUGGUUAACAAGGCCACGAACUUAUCAAUCGCCACUGCUGUUCGCCACUGCUGUGGACCACUUUCUGGAGGUCCAAGACGCUGACUUCUACAAAGAAGGGAUCCGUAUGCUCCAUGACCGCUGGACUAAGUGUGU